AUUUAACAUUACCAUGCCUAGACUUUGUUUUCAAUACAAAUGAAACAUUCCCGAGUAUGACUACACCUGCUUUGAUUUACCAAUCCGCUGCCAAGAAGUUGUAGUAGCUGUUCACGUGGAAGCUCAACUGAGGGGGCAUUAUGUAAAGCCACCCAGAACCUGAUCUUGAGAUGCGGCUGCACAAAGUUCUCUGUGUUAAUCCAGGGGUUUAAUGCUCAACCCUGAGGCCAGCGUAUCAAUCUUGGUGACAGACGUGCAUGCUUUGUGGACAAGUUCUUGGGAGUCUGGCAUUUUUGUGGGAUGCUGGAUCCUGUUCCUGUUUCUCAGCACAUAAUCCAGGGAAACAUGGAUGGAUGGACUUCUUGCCUCCAGUUCACCAAUCCUGCAUGUCUUUGGAUUGUAGGAUAAAUCAAGAGCUUCUGGAGGAAACCCAUGCCAACAUGGGGAGAACAUGCAAAUUCCAGCCAGAACUAGAACAUAUAAUAUAUAAAAACCCUCUGUUAUGAGCUUGCCAUCCAUCCAGGGUGUUUCCCUGCCUAUGGCCAGAGACGGUCCAACAUCCCCAUGAUCCUAAGUGGUUUGGAGAAUGGAUGUCAAGUCAGUUCAGGUCACCUUUAUUUUUUAUUAUGUUUUAUAAUAUACAGAUUGUGUCAAAGCAGCUCCACAGAAAUAAACAGGAAGUAACAGAAUCCAUUAUGGAAACUCGGGUAUAGAGACAGUUUUAUUUAGCAGCUCUAAAAAACAGCAGUUUCAUUAUUUAGCUCAAGUUAGUUUAGAUCAGUAACAGUUUCAAGUUAAUCAAUCAGCAACUGUAAGGCAGCAGUGUCGUUAUUUAUCUCGAGUGAGUUCAAUGUUGAUCCAGUUCAGUUCAAUACAAGAGCUGAUGCUGUAAAAUGUGAUUCAUUAGUAAAGCAGCUUAAUUCAGUUCAAUCUUUGUUUAUCCGAUGGUGUCAGAAUGGAUAUAAAACAUAUAAAAGCAUAUAAAACAACACAAAUGUAAGCAGAAAUGUAAUCAUAUUCUAAAUGCACUUUAUUAAUGUAUACAUUUUGGUUCAUUUCUGCAUGAAAUAAGAGAUCUUUUUUAAGAGAUAGAUAAACACUUUAUUUUCAGGCAUUUUUCUUACAUCAUAGUAUCUCCGAUUUGACGGUAACAAUGUAUAUUCACACUUAGUAAUAAUACUGUUUGCCAGACUUAAUUAUCUUUGAAAUAACUUCGACCUUAGGGUGGUGGAAAACACUUUUGCAUUGCAGAACACUCAUAAUCAUUUUUUUUUUUUUUUAAAGAAAGUAAUUUGCUACUUGCUCCAAAAGCCCUAAGACACAAAUAAAAUAUAUUUUUUGCUUUGUCCUCUUACAAACAUUUCCAAUAUGAUUUUUCCAAGAUAACA